GCCUGCGGAGGGAUCAUUACUGAGUUUACGCUCUACAACCCUUUGUGAACAUACCUAUAACUGUUGCUUCGGCGGGUAGGGUCUCCGUGACCCUCCCGGCCUCCCGCCCCCGGGCGGGUCGGCGCCCGCCGGAGGAUAACCAAACUCUGAUUUAACGACGUUUCUUCUGAGUGGUACAAGCAAAUAAUCAAAACUUUUAACAACGGAUCUCUUGGUUCUGGCAUCGAUGAAGAACGCAGCGAAAUGCGAUAAGUAAUGUGAAUUGCAGAAUUCAGUGAAUCAUCGAAUCUUUGAACGCACAUUGCGCCCGCCAGCAUUCUGGCGGGCAUGCCUGUUCGAGCGUCAUUUCAACCCUCAAGCUCUGCUUGGUGUUGGGGCCCUACAGCUGAUGUAGGCCCUCAAAGGUAGUGGCGGACCCUCCCGGAGCCUCCUUUGCGUAGUAACUUUACGUCUCGCACUGGGAUCCGGAGGGACUCUUGCCGUAAAACCCCCAAUUCUCCAAAGGUUGACCUCGGAUCAGGUAGGAAUACCCGCUGAACUUAAGCAUAUCAA
rnacentral:rRNA from 1 species